GGAGCUUGCUUUAUAUAACUUAGCAGCGAACGGGUGAGUAACACGUAGAUAAUCUAUCCUAUACUGGGGGAUAGCCCGAUGAAAGUUGGAUUAAUACCGCAUAUAGCUAUAUAGUUGCAUGAUUAUGUAGUGAAAGAUUUAUUGGUAUAGGAGGAGUCUGCGGCACAUUAGCUAGUAGGUGAGGUAAAGGCUUACCUAGGCGACGAUGUGUAGCCGGUCUGAGAGGAUGAACGGCCACAAUGGAACUGAGACACGGUCCAUACUCCUACGGGAGGCAGCAGUGGGGAAUAUUGCACAAUGGGGGAAACCCUGAUGCAGCAACGCCGCGUGAGUGAAGAAGGUUUUCGGAUUGUAAAGCUCUGUUAGCAGGGAAGAGGAAGGACGGUACCUGCAGAGGAAGCCACGGCUAACUACGUGCCAGCAGCCGCGGUAAUACGUAGGUGGCAAGCGUUGUUCGGAAUAACUGGGCGUAAAGGAUGCGUAGGCGGUUAAACAAGUUAUAUGUUAAAUAUAUAGGCUUAACCUGUAGAAAGCAUAUAAAACUGUUUAACUAGAGUGCAGGAGAGGUAAGUGGAAUUCCUAGUGUAGCGGUGAAAUGCGUAGAGAUUAGGAAGAACACCAGUGGCGAAGGCGACUUACUGGACUGUAACUGACGCUGAGGCAUGAGAGCAUGGGGAGCAAACAGGAUUAGAUACCCUGGUAGUCCAUGCUGUAAACGAUGGGUACUAGGUGUGGGUUGUGAAUAACAAUUCGUGCCGUCGCAAAC
rnacentral:rRNA from 1 species